rnacentral:ncRNA from 1 species
GGAAUCGCUAGUAAUCGCGAAUCAGCAUGUCGCGGUGAAUACGUUCCCGGGCCUUGUACACACCGCCCGUCACACCAUGGAAGUGGGUUGUACCAGAAGUGGGUAGUCUAACUUUAGAGAGGACGCUCACCACGGUAUGGUUCAUGACUGGGGUGAAGUCGUAACAAGGUAGCCGUAGGGGAACCUGCGGCUGGAUCACCUCCUUU